rnacentral:rRNA from 1 species
AUUGAACGCUGGCGGCAGGCCUAACACAUGCAAGUCGAACGAGUGGCGGACGGGUGCGUAAUGUCUGGGAAACUGCCUGAUGGAGGGGGAUCACUACUGGAAACGGUAGCUAAUACCGCAUACCAUCGGAUGUGCCCAGCUGGGAUUAGCUAGUGGGGUGGGUAAAGGCUCACCUAGGAGACGAUCCCUAGCUGGUCUGAGAGGAUGACCAGCCACUCUGGAACUUGAACACGGUCCAGACUCCUACGGGAGGCAGCAGUGGGGAAUAUUGCACAAUGGGCGCAAGCCUAAUGCAGCCAUGCCGCGUAUAUGAAGAAGGCCUUCGGUUUGUAAAGUACUUUCAGCGGGAAGGCGUUACCCGCAGAAGAAGCACCGGCUAACUCCGUGCCAGCAGCCGCGGUAAUUC